UGUUUCUUUCUCUUAACAUGCUUCAAGUGGCAUCUUCCAUGACACCUCAGAUAUAUAAAUUAAGUGCCAUGUACAUACUGUAAAACAAAAACACAUUUCGUGGACAAGAAAUUUCGUGGUUGGGCCAACAUGAAUUUGUGAAGCUAAAACGAAUGGGGAUUUGUUGUUGUUGUUUUUUUUUUUGUUUGUUUUUUUGUUUUUUUUUUUUUUUGUUUUGUUUUUUCGUUUAAUUUUGUAGGUAAGUGAAGCCCAUCUAUGAAAAUGAGAACCUUUGAACAUUAAUGGUUCCGAAGUAUAUAUCAAGAAAGGACCACAGGCAAACGUCAUAGUUAACAUGCAUGAUUCAAUAAUAUUCCAUUCGCUACUUCCAUGUCACUUUUACUAUAGAUAAAUUGUAAAAGGGAAAUACAUGAAAGUAUCUCUAACAUGUUACAAAAAAGUGAAUUUAACACUACAAUGUGUAAGUUUUGAUUGUUCAAACGUCUUGUUUUGUUACAUGUAUGAAAUAUAUGACAAGUAUGUCGAUAGAUAAAUGUCAUGCAGCGCUCAUUUAUAAAUCAUUUUCUACUUUGAUACCGAACCUAUGGUAUGAUAUAUGACAGAUAAUAACCUUUAAAGGAAAUAGAUAAGUGAUUUCUUCACUAGUUCACUGACAAGAAAAGAGCGUCCGGUCCGGGAUUAUAAUUUUGGUACUAUGUGAAAGAAAUAAGACUAUAUUGUAAUAUUUAACUUGUGAAUUGUCAUAUUGCACUGGAGAAAGAAGUAUGUCACGUGAUUCUUGGUUAACCCUUAGCCUGCUAAAUUUCUAAAAUGGACUGGUCCAUCAUUCAAUUUGGGCAAUACCAUUUAUUAUUUGAAGGGGUGUUUGCUGCAAAUUUACUGACUGAAUAGCGAACAGUGCAGACCAUGAUCAGACUGCACGGAUGUGCAGGCUGAUCUUGGUCUGCACUGGUCGCAAAGGCAGAAUCACUUGCCGCCAGCAGUCUAAAGGUUAAACGAGUUGACAAAUAAAAAUGCAAUUAUGUAAAUGUUUAAUUUGCAAGAGAAAACAAUUAUUUUUCUUACAUCAAUGUCAUCAGAAUUUUGCAUAAUUUGCAUACAAUUUACAUAUAAAAUAGAUUUUUAAAGGCAAUAUACAACACUUACUUAUGACAGUAAUAUAAACUAAAGCGAUUAUUUUUUUAUAUUCAGUUCAUAUAUUGCUUUCUUCAUAUACCGAAAUAUGACUGUUAGAGUAACUAGACAAAAAUAUUUAUGAACCGUGUCGGGAAGACUGUUGCACAAUGAUUUAACAACAAAAAUAAAUGGUACUACACUAUUUAUAUUACAGACUGUUACACAUUUGAAUAUUAACCUCUUUCUAGAACGAAUCUGUGACCUUAGAGAAAACGUCUUACGCAUUGAUAUGUUAUGAAUUUGCAUUAAUUUUGAAUAUAAGUUACUACUGAUCUUUUAGACUUCAGAGUUGCUUUCAGAUGUAUAUAGCUGAACAUUUGGAACACCUUUGGUAUGUAUAUAGGCGAUGUUUAAUUUAUUGUUGCAGGCCAUAGAACAGCUGCCACGAUACUAGAUGGUUAUUUGUAUCCACUGUCCGGGCGAUAAGCCUAGGGGUCUUUGAUCAGAGCCCAUCUUCAACAACACAUAACUUAGUCGAGAGUGUGAAACAAAUCUGACUUAAAUGGUAGCGGGUAACAAAGAAAUGUGAAAGUGAACUGAUGUUUGAAAAUAUCUACGUUGCUGCUUUUGGCGGAUGACGGAUGGGGAAGACCACAGGUACCCCUCCAGACAUUGUUUCAGCCAUUGGUGGACACCUGUGUUAAACCACCGCCCUCAUGUAAGCCAGCUGGACGGCUUCUUAACAUGAAGAAUUCUGCACCACAAGGAAUGUUUCAAAUAUCGCGUAGGGGCAAACGAUACGAAGCCAGCGUCUUUAACUACUCGGUCAGUGAGAUCCAAGAUCUUAGACAACUUAAGAACAAUAGAAGGAUAGAAACCAUAACACGCUAUGAUUUCAUAACAAACAAAAGGAGCAUACGUAUUAUUUUUAUGUGAUAGACACAAAAAAUGGUUUAAGAACAAAACGAUAACUCAUUACCAGAAAUUUAAACAAACAAAGACCCAGCAAGUGUAUGUGAUUAUAGUGAACUGAUGUUUCCAGCUAUAAACAAAAUGGUGUCAUUUAUAUUUGUAUGGUAACACCGGUUGAGAAAAUCUUGUCACCUGUUUUCGUGGUACAAUCUUUUUAAUGAAGAAGUAACACACUAGAAGAUGAGCAAUAAAGUAAAUCGCACUACACCC